rfam:Branchiostoma floridae genomic scaffold BRAFLscaffold_16, whole genome shotgun sequence.
GUUGGCUACGGAGACCAAUACCCCGUUUCUCUCCCGGGCAAAAUCGUCGGCUCCAUGUGCGUGGUCACCGGCCUUCUUGUCAUCGCGUUGCCCGUACCGAUCAUCGUAGAAAAU